rnacentral:rRNA from 1 species
UACGAAGGGGGCUAGCGUUGUUCGGAAUUACUGGGCGUAAAGCGUGCGCAGGCGGCUUCUCAAGUCAGGGGUGAAAGCCCAGAGCUCAACUCUGGAAUUGCCUUUGAGACUGAGUGGCUAGAGUGCGGGAGAGGAGAGUGGAAUUCCCGGUGUAGCGGUGAAAUGCGCAGAUAUCGGGAAGAACACCCGUGGCGAAGGCGGCUCUCUGGAACGCAACUGACGCUGAGACGCGAAAGCGUGGGGAGCAAACAGG